rnacentral:rRNA from 1 species
CAGCCGCCGCGGUAAUACCGGCGGCUCGAGUGGUGGCCACUUUUAUUGGGCUUAAAGCGUUCGUAGCUGGGUUAUUAAGUCCCUUGGGAAAUCCGACAGCUUAACUGUCGGGCGUCUAAGAGAUACUGGUAAUCUUGGAACCGGGAGAGGUGAGGGGGUACUUCGGGGGUAGGAGUGAAAUCCUGUAAUCCUCGAGGGACCACCUGUGGCGAAGGCGCCUCACCAGAACGGCUUCGACAGUGAGGGACGAAAGCUGGGGGAGCAAACCGGAUUAGAUACCCGGGUAGUCCCAGCCGUAAACGAUGUGCGUUAGGUGUAUCGGUGACCACGAGUCACCGAGGUGCCGAAGGGAAACCGUGAAACGUACCGCCUGGGAAGUACGGUCGCAAGGCUGAAACUUAAAGGAAUUGGCGGGGGAGCACCACAACAGGUGGAGCCUGCCGGGUUUAAUUGGACUCAACGCCGGAAAUCUCACCGGAUAAGACAGCAGAAUGAUUGCCGGGCUGAAGACUCUGCAUGACUAGCUGAGAGGAGGUGCAUGG